UUGACCAGAAUCGAACCUGGGACCCUUCAGUCCGCAGGCUGAUGCUCUAUCCACUGAGCCAAACUGGUUUCGGCAAGUGAAGGCAUUUUGGCUUCACUUUCUAUUGUGCAAAAAGCCAGACAGGGAAGGGGCUUAGUGUUAUUUGCCUCAGUCAUCUUUUUUGCAAACUAGAUCUCAACAAAAAGCAGUGCCGCAUCCUCUCUGUCUGAUACUCCUGAGCUGCUGCAGAAACCCUUUCUCCUGCUUUUUGGUCUUUCUUCACCCCCACCCUACCUCAGAAUCCCCUUGACAAAAUAAUUUCCAUCAGAUGUUUUUUAACCUGAGUGCACACGCCCUGGGAGUGCCACCACGGUCCAGCCACUCCGCCCCAAAGACAGGGCUAUGGGGGGACUCAGAGCCAGUUAAUUUUGCUGUGUGGCUGCUGGUAACUGUCUGUCCUGAAGGGACUUUCUUCUGAUCACCACAGAGACCUGUGUCCUCAGGAAUGGACAUGUUACAGGCACUGAGGGGCCUGUGGCUCUUGGCUGGUAUUCCAUUCAGUUAUUCAUCCCACAGACCUUUGCAGACAUUUGUACUGGUCAGGGGGUCAGUGUGUUGAGCUGCUGGGUAGAGGAGGCAGACCUGGAAGCUGAUGGGAGGGGGGGUCCGGAGGGCCCUGGACCCCAUUCACUCCAGGCACAUCCUGGUGAUACUAGUCCCUCCGUGUCCUAGAGGCCAGUUCUGUCCCACCUACUUGGCAGUCACAUAUCACAGUUGCUUGUCUGGAGAGGCUGGUGUACCCUGUGGGAGCGUAGCCCAAGAGGCCUUCACAGUAGCGGUGUGGGCUCUGUUUCAGGAGCCAGCCCUGUCCCCCUCCCCAGCACCUGCCUGCAGAGUCAAGUAAUAAAAGCCACUGUGCUCAUGUGUAA